rnacentral:rRNA from 1 species
UACGUAGGGUGCGAGCGUUGUCCGGAAUUAUUGGGCGUAAAGGGCUCGUAGGCGGUUUGUCGCGUCGAGAGUGAAAAUCCAGGGCUUAACUCUGGACUGGCUUCCGAUACGGGCAGACUAGAGUGAUGUAGGGGAGACUGGAAUUCCUGGUGUAGCGGUGAAAUGCGCAGAUAUCAGGAGGAACACCGAUGGCGAAGGCAGGUCUCUGGGCAUUAACUGACGCUGAGGAGCGAAAGCAUGGGGAGCGAACAGG